UGUCCCCCAUUGUCCGUUAUAAAACAACUCCAGUCGACCAUCGGGACCUAACCCAGUGGUGCCAGAACUAUUCACAAGUCUCAAAUCUUCAUCUAAAAACGAUCACAAUUAUGAAUUCCAAUAGAAUUGUGUGGGCAGUCAUCUAGUCUAGUUUCAGAUCCAAAGCAACCAAGCUCGUCCAACCAUAUCGGUGUGGAUGCUGACACUGUUAGGGCACUAUCGUAAAAAUAUCGACCUCCAGUCUGCCAAUUCUGGUAUCUGUUGAACCAGACGAAUCUAUCAGCCUCACAUCUCCACUCAAUUGUCCUGAGGGCACGAAAUGAAGAAUUAUUGCCACUCACGGCUAGAAUCCAUAACAUAUUAAUUGAUGUCUCUGAUUCUCUAGCUCACAGCUGGCUUGUUAUAAUUAUGUCUUAUUAGUCAGUGUGCAGCUGAUAUUGGCUCAUAAUAGUGGCCAGUCAGUAUUCCCCACAUAACUGUGGUAACUAACAAUUAGGGACGAAAGGUGUGAGUUAAUUAUGAGUAUAGGCCAGUCAGUUAUUCCCCCCUCACACCAUUACUGAAAAACAUGAUACCUACAUAACUGUGGUAGCUUACAAUUAC